GCCAGGCAUGGUGGUGUAUGCCUGUAAUCCCAGCUACUUGGGAGGCUGAGGCAGGAGAAUCACUUGAACUCAGGAGGCGGAGGUUGCAGUGAGCCAAGAUCAUGCCACUGCACUCCAGCCUGGGUAACAGAGUGAGACUUCGUCUCAA
rnacentral:SRP_RNA from 1 species